rnacentral:lncRNA from 1 species
GUGUUGUUUAUUCUUAUUGCUACAUUAGUUAUUACACAGAAUGUUGAAGACCGUUUUGAUGAAUUUAGAUUAACUUUCGACUAUGGCUAUUCGUUUGUUUUAACAAUUGUUGGCAUGUGCAUAGCUGUAAUUGCUGGUUUGUUCAUGGUUGUUGAUUAUAAUACUGGCUUACAUAUAGAUGAUGGACAAGUGGCAAAUUAUUAAAUGCAAUAUGAUCAGAUUAAAACUGCCAAACUAUCAUUUUUUUGAAAGAAACUGUUAUUAAGAUAUGUAUUUUGAAACUGCAUACAUCUGACAAAA